GGCCUCAUCGAUACCGCAUAUUCCUCCCCUCCCGCACGUUGUUUCGGUGCCUAUGCUGCUCAUUUGUGGAGGCUUCACGACAGUGUCUCCCUCCAUUCUCUCUCAGUUAAUUUUGUCUUAUUCUCGGACAUUGUGAAGUUUGAAGCCUGUCAAGAUGGUGAAGUUUACAGCUGAAGAGCUUCGUCGGAUUAUGGACUAUAAGCACAACAUUCGUAAUAUGUCUGUUAUUGCUCAUGUCGAUCAUGGGAAGUCAACACUUACAGAUUCUCUUGUGGCUGCUGCGGGUAUCAUUGCACAAGAAGUUGCUGGUGAUGUGCGGAUGACAGACACUCGCCAAGAUGA